rnacentral:rRNA from 1 species
UGGCGAACGGGUGAGUAAUGUAUAGGAAUCUGCCUAAUGGAGGGGGAUAGCUCAGGGAAACUUGAGGUAAUACCGCGUAAGACCGAGAGGUGAAAGGGGGGUGUUAAAGCCUCUCGCCAUAAGAUGAGCCUAUAUUGGAUUAGCUAGUAGGUGAGGUAAAAGCUCUACCUAGGCGACGAUCCAUAGCUGUUCUGAGAGGAAGGACAGCCACACUGGGACUGAGACACGGCCCAGACUCCUACGGGAGGCAGCAGUGGGGAAUAUUGGACAAUGGGCGCAAGCCUGAUCCAGCGAUGCCACGUGUGCGAAGAAGGCCUUAGGGUUGUAAAGCACUUUAGUGAGGGAGGAAAGGGAAUUGGUUAAUACCCAGUUUCAUUGACAGUACCUCAAGAAUAAGCACCGGCAAACUCUGUGCCAGCAGCCGCGGUAAUACAGAGGGUGCAAGCGUUAAUCGGAAUUAUUGGGCGUAAAGGGCUUGUAGGCGGUGAAUUAAGUUAGGUGUGAAAACCCUGGGCUCAACCUGGGGCUGGCAUCUAAUACUGGUUCGCUAGAGUAUAGGAGAGGAGAAGGGAAUUUCUGGUGUAGCGGUGAAAUGCGUAGAUAUCAGAAGGAACAUCAGUGGCGAAGGCGCUUCUCUGGCCUAAUACUGACGCUGAGGAGCGAAGGCGUGGGGAUCAAACAGGAUUAGAUACCCUGGUAGUCCACGCGGUAAACGAUGAAUACUAGCCGCUGGGUCGUAAGACUAAGUGGCGCAGCUAACGCGAUAAGUAUUCCGCCUGGGAAGUACGGCCGCAAGGUUAAAACUCAAGGAAUUGACGGGGGCUCGCACAGCGGUGGAGUAUGGUGGUUUAAUUCG